CACUCGAAAUGUUCUGUUCCGCCGCCGUCCCCAUCUUUAGCCACCGGUCCUCCGACGAUGUGAUCCAGCGACGCCUUCGCUCAUUUGGAAUCCUUUCCUCCGAUCCAAAACGUAGGCCGUGGCAUAGCAAUUUAGAGAUUUCUCGCAAGGCUGCUUCCUCUACACGAUUCCUGCCGCACUAGCGCAACAAGCCACCGUGAGAUCGGAACUUGUCGCUUGAAAAUUUUGAGGUCGCCGAUCUUUGGUAAUUUGUUGUUUGUGGAUCUUAAUUUUAUUUUGAUAAAUAAUUAGUAUUCAAUUUCUCACUCACAUUCUUUAUGGAUAGUGUAGAAUAAAAAUAAUUAUAAAUGUUUCAUGAACUAAGUCUUACUUUUGGAUAAUGCUAAACAUUCUUUACAAACUACGCCCAUAGUUGUCAGUACAUACCGGACAACAAGUUCUGUAUCAAUAGAAGAGAGUGUUUUGUGUAUGUGAUUUUAAUUUUAUUAAUAAUAUUAGUUGUAUUUUGGUUGAUGUUUUGUCUAAUUGUUUUGAUUUUUUUUGCCCUUUAAUUAUUUUUUGGUGAAUUUGUUUGGAUAAUGGAGUUAUUGAGUUUUUUUUUUUUUUAAAUCGGUCGACGUUGUUGCUUUGAUUUGACUAUGAUUGGCCAUAUCUGAGAAAAAAGAAAAAAUAUAGCUUUUCGUAUAAGGUUCGAUAUAAUUGGCAUUUUCCAUUUUUCUUUUCGUUUUCUCUAACUGGUAUUUUCAUUGCCACAGGGAUUGUUGUUUUUG
rnacentral:lncRNA from 1 species